AUUGAACGCUGGCGGCAUGCCUUACACAUGCAAGUCGAACGGCAGCACGGGAGCAAUCCUGGUGGCGAGUGGCGAACGGGUGAGUAAUAUAUCGGAACGUGCCCAGUCGUGGGGAUAACGUAGCGAAAGCUACGCUAAUACCGCAUACGAUCUAUGGAUGAAAGCGGGGGAUCGCAAGACCUCGCGCGAUUGGAGCGGCCGAUAUCAGAUUAGGUAGUUGGUGAGGUAAAGGCUCACCAAGCCGACGAUCUGUAGCUGGUCUGAGAGGACGACCAGCCACACUGGGACUGAGACACGGCCCAGACUCCUACGGGAGGCAGCAGUGGGGAAUUUUGGACAAUGGGCGCAAGCCUGAUCCAGCAAUGCCGCGUGCAGGAUGAAGGCCUCGGUUGGUUAACGUAGUAC
rnacentral:rRNA from 1 species